rnacentral:misc_RNA from 1 species
UUUCCGUAGGUGAACCUGCGGAAGGAUCAUUAAAGAGAAUAUGCCCUUCGGGGUAGAUCUCCCACCCUUUGUUUAUAUUACCUUUGUUGCUUUGGCAGGCCCGUCUUCGGACCACCGGCUUCGGCUGGUCAGUGCUUGCCAGAGGACCCAAAACUCUUACUAUUAAUGUCGUCUGAGUACUAUAUAAUAGUUAAAGCUUUCAACAACGGAUCUCUUGGUUCUG